rnacentral:tRNA from 1 species
GCUUCUGUAGCGCAGCUGGUAGCGCAACUGAUUCGUAAUCAGUAGGUCGCAAGUUCAAAUCUUGUCAGAAGCUCCA